UAACUAUUAAUUUAAUAAAAAUAUUAAUUUUGUAAAUUAAACAUAAGAAAAACUCUUAUAGUUAU
rnacentral:tRNA from 1 species